AGACGCUUCCCUGCAAUUGAUGCAGUGGAUAGAGCAAGAGUGGUAGUGCUGGUGGUGGUGAAGUUGUGAUCAAGUGCUGCUCAUGCUGAUGGUGGUGAAGAUGUCAUCAAGUGCAGGUCAGGUGUACUAUCCAAUCUGGAUGAAGUCUUCAGUUUGUGUCCAUUUCCUGAAGAAACAAAAUUGAUGGCUGGAAUCCCAUUAGAGGAAAAUUUGAAGCUGAACCAUACAAAUGGAAAACCGCUUCUCUGUAAAAAUGGACCCAAAUGUGAAUGUAAUUUACUUCAACGGGAGACAGGAAACAGAAUUUAGUUAUGGAAGAAGACUUCAUAAGAGGUUGUACUAUAAACGCCUUCAAAAAAAAAUUCCUUGAAUUUCAAACAAAAGAAAUAAAAAAAUAAGUACAAAUAAAUUUCAAUCCAUAAGUACCUGAAAUAGGGUAAUCAAGGCUGCAUCUAUGUAGUCCUGCUGAGGAGUGUAAGUAUACAGGAUGUCCACAGGGUAUUUCCGUCCUUGGAUAUGGACAGCUUUUGCACCACCAAGGCACUCAGAGAAUCCCCUUGCAUCAAGACUAGCAGACAUGACAAUCAACUUUAAAGGGCAACCUGAGGGAGAUGCUUGGCCCUUCCAACCACUUCCACUUCCAAUUGAUGUGUCUUCAUUGGAGUCUAUAUUAUCGAUUUUCUUGACAUUGUCCUUGUUCAUGACUUGCUGUGACCUUGAUUUUUGAACACCUUUCAAAAUGCCUAAUACCACAUCUGUGUGG